rnacentral:rRNA from 1 species
UACGUAGGGGGCUAGCGUUGUCCGGAUUUAUUGGGCGUAAAGAGCGUGUAGGCGGCCAUGUAGGUCCGGUGUGAAAACUCGAGGCUUAACCUCGAGAUGUCAUCGGAAACCAUUUGGCUAGAGUCCGGAAGAGGAGAGUGGAAUUCCUGGUGUAGCGGUGAAAUGCGCAGAUAUCAGGAAGAACACCAAUGGCGAAAGCAGCUCUCUGGGACGGUACUGACGCUGAGACGCGAAAGCCAGGGGAGCAAACGGG